ACUACCCGCUGAACUUAAGCAUAUCAAUAAGCGGAGGAAAAGAAACCAACAGGGAUUGCCUCAGUAACGGCGAGUGAAGCGGCAAAAGCUCAAAUUUGAAAUCCCCCGGGAAUUGUAAUUUGAAGAGAUUUGGGUCCGGCCGGCAGGGGUUAAGUCCACUGGAAAGUGGCGCCACAGAGGGUGACAGCCCCGUGAACCCCUUUAAAGCCCUCAUCCCAGAUCUCCAAGAGUCGAGUUGUUUGGGAAUGCAGCUCUAAGUGGGUGGUAAAUUCCAUCUAAAGCUAAAUACCGGCGAGAGACCGAUAGCGAACAAGUACAGUGAUGGAAAGAUGAAAAGCACUUUGAAAAGAGAGUGAAAAAGUACGUGAAAUUGUUGAAAGGGAAGGGCUUGCAAGCAGACACUUAACUGGGCCAGCAUCGGGGCGGCGGGAAACAAAACCACCGGGGAAUGUACCUUUCGAGGAUUAUAACCCCGGUCUCAAUUUCCUUGUUGCCCCGAGACCUGCAAUCUAAGGAU
rnacentral:rRNA from 1 species